rnacentral:rRNA from 1 species
UACGUAGGGCGCAAGCGUUGUCCGGAAUUAUUGGGCGUAAAGAGCUCGUAGGCGGCCAGUUGCGUCUGCUGUGAAAUCUCACAGCUUAACUGUGAAACUGCAUUGGAUACUAUCCGGCUCGAGGAAUGGAGGGGAGACUGGAAUACUUGGUGUAGCAGUGAAAUGCGUAGAUAUCAAGUGGAACACCAGUGGCGAAGGCGAGUCUCUGGACAUUUCCUGACGCUGAGGCACGAAAGCCAGGGGAGCAAACGGG